rnacentral:rRNA from 2 species
UGGGGAAUUUUGCGCAAUGGGGGAAACCCUGACGCAGCAACGCCGCGUGGAGGAUGAAGUAUCUUGGUACGUAAACUCCUUUCGAUGGGGAAGAUUAUGACGGUACCCAUAGAAGAAGCCCCGGCUAACUUCGUGCCAGCAGCCGCGGUAAUACGAGGGGGGCAAGCGUUGUUCGGAUUUAUUGGGCGUAAAGGGUGCGUAGGCGGUUUGGCAAGUCUUAUGUGAAAUCUUCGGGCUCAACCCGAAGCCUGCAUAAGAAACUGCCGGGCUUGAGUAUGGGAGAGGUGAGUGGAAUUUCCGGUGUAGCGGUGAAAUGCGUAGAUAUCGGAAGGAACACCUGUGGCGAAAGCGGCUCACUGGACCAUAACUGACGCUGAGGCACGAAAGCUAGGGGAGCAAACA